CUUCCUCAAACCACCCCCUUCUCCCUCCCCAUCCCCAUCUCCCCCUCCUCCCAAGCCCUACCGUCCUCCCCUUCUCAAGAACCCUCUCAAAAAAAAAGAAGAAACCCUCCACCCAAACCCCUUCUCCCCUUGGCCCCCCCUCGCCUCCUCCCAUCUUCCAAUCCCCGGUCCUCUCCGACGCCCUCGCCACCUUCGACUCCCUCUCCGUGGCCACCGCCGAGGCCGGUGCCUCCCUCGACCCCGCAACCCUCCUCCGCUCCUUCUGCGACACCGGCGCCUCCCCCUCCGAUGCGCUUUCCCUGUUCCGCCACAUCUCCUCCCACCUCCCCCCCGACCGCCCCUGCUUCCACGUCCUCCUCGGCCACUCCUGCCUCCAACCCGCUGGCGACAACGACGACCACCUCACCCCCGUCUUCAACGUGCUCGACCUAAUGUCCUCCUCUGGCUUCCCACCAGACGCCGCCUCCGCCGACCUCGCGGUCCGCGCCCUCUGCUCCGCCACCCGACUCGAUGAUGCCUGCGCCCUCCUCCGCCGCCUCUCCUCCUUUUCCUCCCCCGCCGCCGUCCUCCCCGACGUCUUCACCUAUAACUUCCUUAUCCGCCGCCUCGCCCGUUCCCGCCCCAUCUCCUCCGUCUACGCCUUCAUUGACGAGCUCCGCCGCUCCUCCGGUAUCCGACCCGACCUCGUCACCUACACCAUCCUCAUCGACGCCGUCUGCCGCGGGCGCAACCUCCGUGAGGCCACUCGCCUCCUUGGCGUGCUCGCCGAUGCCGGCUUCAAGCCUGAUUGCUACCUCUAUAACACCAUCAUGAAGGGUUACUGCAUGGUGGAUCAGUGCGGCGAGGUGAUGGAGGUCUACAACAAGAUGAAGGAUGAGGGAGUCGAGCCUGACCUUGUCACCUAUAACACCCUCGUUUAUGGGCUCUCCAAGGCCGGGAUGGUCGACCAGGCAAAGAGGUUCCUCAAUGUGAUGGCAAACAUGGGGCAUUUCCCUGAUACGGUGACCUACACGUCCCUAAUGAACGGGAUGUGCAGGAAAGGCGAUGCCUUGGGGGCGCUCAGUCUAUUGGGAGAGAUGGAGGAGAAAGGGUGCAGUCCGAAUGAGUGCACGUACAACACACUGCUAAUGGGGCUGUGCAAGGCCAAGUGUUUGGAGAAGGGGAUGGAGUUGUAUGGAGUGAUGAAGGCGGGAGGCAUGAAGCUGGAGAAUGCAGCGUAUGCGACAUUUGUGAGGGCGCUGUGUCGGGCGAAUAAGAUUGCAGAGGCAUAUAAGGUGUUUGAUUAUGCGCUGGAGAGCAAGAGCUUGACCGACGUGUCAGCUUAUUUGGCAUUGGAGAGCUCACUCAAGUUUCUGAAGAAGACGAAAGCAUAACUUAUGCACAUCCAUUGGUCAGUUCGGCUUCCUUAUAUGGUGAAUUCAUGCCACAGAGAUAAAAAGUAAAGUUCUUCACUCUGUUACGAUGCCGGUGAAUAUUAAAUUGGAGCCCUAAAGAUUAGCAGGCAAACAAGUCUUCAGGAUGGAACUGAAGGAAGCUACUGCUAGCAAGAGCAUGAAUAACCAGACUGAGGCACUCUUGUAUCUGUAUUGCCAUCAGCAGAUUCUUGCUACCAUUUCGUGGCCAUUCUCACCUGGCAUUGAUUUCUAAUGCAGGUCAAUGGAAGCAACAGCCAAAUGGUGCAUGCAACUUGUCUGGAGAACCAACUUCGAGUUUGCUGUCUGCUCCAAAUGGGUUUUGGGUUCAGCAGUGUUGUAUUAAAAUCUUUUAUAAACUGUAACAAAAUAAAAUCUCAUAUAAACAUAUAUUCUUUUACUGACAAUGCAAUCAUUAGUUCCUCUCAUGUACCAUCGUCCAAAUGUUUCAUUUUGUUUUGGAAGAUGUAAUCAUUCUUUUCCUGAUAAUGCAAUCGUUAGUUCCU